rnacentral:rRNA from 1 species
AUGCAAACAGAGCCAGAGAACAAAAUGCGACCUUCCGAGUCAGCCCCUGAGUUGCUGAUGAUGGCUGCUCGGGAGGGCAAUUCGGCAAGAUUGCGUGAUCUUCUGGGCAACCACGAUGCAACUGCGACUGCAGUUCAGCUCGUUGUGCCCAUGCCUGAAGUCAUCGUCAACAUUGAGGAAAACUCCCUCGCCAUCAGCAGGGUGGAGUCAAUUCUCCAUGUGGUUGCAGCUUCUGGAGACACUUCUGAGUUUCUGGAGAGCGCAAGUCUGAUCCACAGCAAGGCCAAGCACCUCCUAGGCACCGGCAAUAACAAGGGGGACACGCCCUUGCAUUGCGCAGCCGGAGCUGGGAGGAUCAAAAUGGUCUCUCACCUCAUCCAUCUGGCGAUGGCGGAUGGGGGUGGUGACGCGAGAGUGAAGGCAGUGCUGAGGAAGCAGAACAACAAAGGCCAGACAGCCCUCCAUGAGGUCCUUCGCUUGUCCGACAAGAAGAUGAUCAGGGGAAUGGUUGAGAAGCUAAUGGAGGUCGAUGCAGAAUUGGCUCGCCUCCCGAUUGCUAAUGGCACCUCGCCAUUGUACCUGGCUGUCUCGCUAGGACACGAUGAUAUUGCGGAGCUGCUGUAUUCUAAGGACAAGGCGUUGUCCUACUCUGGACCAGAUGGACAAAACGUCUUGCACGUUGCAGUUCUCAGGAGCCAAGGGAUCACAAAUAAGCUACUAGAAUGGAACAGGGACCUCAGCAAACAAGGUGACUGA